ACGAGGUGAGUAACACGUGGGUGAUCUGCCCUGCACUUCGGGAUAAGCCUGGGAAACUGGGUCUAAUACCGGAUAGGAGCCAUUUUUAGUGUGAUGGUUGGAAAGUUUUUCGGUGUAGGAUGAGCUCGCGGCCUAUCAGCUUGUUGGUGGGGUAAUGGCCUACCAAGGCGGCGACGGGUAGCCGGCCUGAGAGGGUGGACGGCCACAUUGGGACUGAGAUACGGCCCAG
rnacentral:rRNA from 1 species